GCCAGAUGUGAUAGCAUGGACCUGUAAUCCCAGCUAUCCAGGAGGCUGAGGCAGGAGGAUUUCUUGAGCCCUGGAGUUCUGGGCUGUAGUGCACUAUGUGGAUCGGCUAUCCACACUCAGUUUGGCAUCAAUAUGGUGACCUCCUGGGAGCAAGGGACCACCAGGUUGCCUAAAGAUGGGCAAACUGGUCCGGGUCAAAAAUGGAGCAGGUCAAAACUUCUAUGCUGAUCAGUAACAGGAUUGUGCCUAUGAAUGAUCACUGCAUUCAAGCCUGGGCAACAUAGCGAGACUCUGGUCUCU
rnacentral:SRP_RNA from 1 species